rnacentral:misc_RNA from 1 species
AAUAUGUUGGGGGAUUCGGUGCCUGAUCGCUGAUCGUAGGCGUGUUUUCCAGGGAUGAUAACCCGCAUCAGCUUGUUUCGACAGGCUGCUGUUGCUCUCUAAGGGGGCUCCGUGGCACUGGUCACGAUGAGGGUUAGAAACCUGGGGGCAGGCUGCGUGUAGUGUACGGUGCUGCGUCUUCUCAUCCUACCACCACCCUUCAUGAGUACCUUGUUUCCUUGGCUGGUUCGCCGGCCACUGGACCUCAGUAACGAACCUGUAAUUUUUGAAUUGUCUGAAUCAAAUACAAUAAUUUA